rnacentral:tRNA from 1 species
GCCGAGUUAGCUCAGUGGUAGAGCAACCGCCUUGUAAGCGGUAGGUCGUCGGUUCAAAUCCGUCACUCGGCUCCA